AGACUUUCACAUUUUUGGCCUGUGAGACUUACUUUGUAUCUUAUGUUAUGCUGUGGUUCCCAGCCCCAUGAAGACUUGAAUGAGGUGAUUGAGGAAAGUGGACUGUGGACAAACUGGGAUUAGAUGCCCAUGCUCUGCCAGUAAGGAGAUGCACAAGAAGCUGGGAGGGAGAAUGGCCAGGACAGCUGACCCAAAGUGGCCAGCGGGACACUCUGAAAAUAGGCUGGAAGCUCCAGGACAGGUCUUGCAGGACAGACCAGCGUAGCUGUGGAGUGCU